rnacentral:rRNA from 1 species
AGAACGAACGCUGGCGGCAUGCCUAACACAUGCAAGUCGAACGAGACCUUCGGGUCUAGUGGCGCACGGGUGCGUAACGCGUGGGAAUCUGCCCUUGGGUUCGGGAUAACAGUUGGAAACGACUGCUAAUACCGGAUGAUGACUUCGGUCCAAAGAUUUAUCGCCCAGGGAUGAGCCCGCGUAGGAUUAGCUAGUUGGUGAGGUAAAAGCUCACCAAGGCGACGAUCCUUAGCUGGUCUGAGAGAAUGAUCAGCCACACUGGGACUGAGACACGGCCCAGACUCCUACGGGAGGCAGCAGUGGGGAAUAUUGGACAAUGGGCGAAAGCCUGAUCCAGCAAUGCCGCGUGAGUGAUGAAGGCCUUAGGGUUGUAAAGCUCGUUUUACCCGGGAUGAAUAAGUGACAGUAACCGGAGAAUAACGCCCCGCUAACGUCCGUAGCCGUAAGUAGACCGC